rnacentral:misc_RNA from 1 species
GAAGAACGCAGCGAACUGCGAUAACUGGUGUGAAUUGCAUGGCACUUCUAAUCUAACACCAAGCGAAUCAUCGAGUCUUUGAACGCAAACGGCACCCUUCCAGUCCAUUCCAAAGCGGUGGCGGAGGAUGAAGACAAGGGUAUCUCUGGCUGAGGGUAAUGGGAACUGAUCCAGUGUAACCGUUGGUUAGCUGGGGAUUGGGCUUGCUCGGGGUAAUUGCUCUGGCUUGCCUUAAAAUCAAGCGUUGUGUGGAUUGGACUUUCAAGCAUGCAUUGGGGACGCAGGCUCUGCGCUAUGGCAAGCCCUUGACCGUCAUAGGUGCUUUGAUUGGGGUUUUCAGUCUAGCCAACAAGGCUGGGUUGAAGGACUUUGGGGCUGCAUUGGGGGCGCAAGGGCAGCUCUGUUCGUGGCGUCCGAUGACCGUCAUGAUGCAUGCGUGAUUGGACUUCAACYAGCAAUUAUCAUUAUCAUCAUCAUUACCAUGGGUUACCUCAGGUCAGAGAAGACUACCCGCUGGACUUAAGCAUAUCACUAAGCGGAGGAAAAGAAACUAACUAGGAUUCCCCCAGUAACUGCGAGUGAAGAGGGAAGAGCUCAUCAUUGGAAUCUGGCAGUGUUUCACUGUCCGAGUUUGUAGAUGAGGAGUAGUCCGUCUGGACUGCAUGGCGUCCAAGUACAAUAGGCCGUCAGUG